rnacentral:rRNA from 1 species
AACGCGAAGAACCUUACCAGCCCUUGACAUCCCGGUCGCGGACACCAGAGAUGGAGUCUUUCAGUUCGGCUGGACCGGAGACAGGUGCUGCAUGGCUGUCGUCAGCUCGUGUCGUGAGAUGUUGGGUUAAGUCCCGCAACGAGCGCAACCCUCGCCCUUAGUUGCCAUCAUUAAGUUGGGCACUCUAAGGGGACUGCCGGUGAUAAGCCGCGAGGAAGGUGGGGAUGACGUCAAGUCCUCAUGGCCCUUACGGGCUGGGCUACACACGUGCUACAAUGGCGGUGACAGUGGGAUGCAAUGGAGUGAUCCUGCGCAAAUCUCAAAAAGCCGUCUCAGUUCGGAUUGUGCUCUGCAACUCGAGCACAUGAAGUUGGAAUCGCUAGUAAUCGCAGAUCAGCACGCUGCGGUGAAUACGUUCCCGGGCCUUGUA